rnacentral:rRNA from 1 species
GACGAACGCUGGCGGCGUGCUUAACACAUGCAAGUCGAACGGUGAAGCGCCUUCCUUUUUGGUGGGUGUGGAUGAGUGGCGAACGGGUGAGUAACACGUGAGUAACCUGCCCCCUUCUUCUGGAUAACCGCAGGAAAGUGUGGCUAAUACGGGAUAUUCUGGGUCUGUCGCAUGAUGGGUCUGGGAAAGAUAUUGUUUCGGUGGGGGAUGGGCUCGCGGCCUAUCAGCUUGUUGGUGGGGUGAUGGCCUACCAAGGCGGUGACGGGUAGCCGGCCUGAGGGGGUGGCCGGUCACACUGGGACUGGGACACGGCCCAGACUCCUCCGGGAGGCAGCAGGGGGGAAUAUUGCACAAUGGGCGCAAGCCUGAUGCAGCGCCGCCGCGUGAGGGAUGGAGGCCUUCGGGUUGUGAACCUCUUUCGCCAGUGAAGCAGGCCUGCCUCGUUUGUGGGUGGGUUGACGGUAGCUGGAUAAGAAGCGCCGGCUAACUACGUG